rnacentral:rRNA from 1 species
GAUGAACGCUGGCGGCGUGCCUAAUACAUGCAAGUCGAGCGAACAGACGAGGAGCUUGCUCCUCUGACGUUAGCGGCGGACGGGUGAGUAACACGUGGAUAACCUACCUAUAAGACUGGGAUAACUUCGGGAAACCGGAGCUAAUAACGGAUAAUAUAUUGAACCGCAUGGUUCAAUAGUGAAAGACGGUUUUGCUGUCACUUAUAGAUGGAUCCGCGCCGCAUUAGCUAGUUGGUAAGGUAACGGCUUACCAAGGCAACGAUGCGUAGCCGACCUGAGAGGGUGAUCGGCCACACUGGAACUGAGACACGGUCCAGACUCCUACGGGAGGCAGCAGUAGGGAAUCUUCCGCAAUGGGCGAAAGCCUGACGGAGCAACGCCGCGUGAGUGAUGAAGGUCUUCGGAUCGUAAAACUCUGUUAUUAGGGAAGAACAAAGGUGUAAGUAACUAUGCACGUCUUGACGGUACCUAAUCAGAAAGCCACGGCUAACUACGUG